rnacentral:rRNA from 1 species
AUUGAACGCUGGCGGCAUGCUUUACACAUGCAAGUCGAACGGCAGCGCGGGCUUCGGCCUGGCGGCGAGUGGCGAACGGGUGAGUAAUACAUCGGAACGUGCCCAGUAGUGGGGGAUAGCUCGGCGAAAGCCGGAUUAAUACCGCAUACGACCUGAGGGUGAAAGCGGGGGAUCUUCGGACCUCGCGCUAUUGGAGCGGCCGAUGGCAGAUUAGCUAGUUGGUGGGGUAAAGGCCUACCAAGGCGACGAUCUGUAGCUGGACUGAGAGGACGACCAGCCACCCUGGGACUGAGACACGGCCCAGACUCCUAAGGGAGGCAGCAGUGGGGAAUUUUGGACAAUGGGCGAAAGCCUGAUCCAGCAAUGCCGAGUGUGUGAUGAAGGCCUUCUGGUUGUAAAGCACUUUUGGCGGGAACGAAAAGGACUGUGCCAAUACCACGGUUCGAUGACGGUACCCGCAGAAUAAGCACCGGCUAACUACGUG